AUUGAACGCUGGCGGCAGGCUUAACACAUGCAAGUCGAGCGGAGAGAGGUAGCUUGCUACUGAUCUUAGCGGCGGACGGGUGAGUAAUGCUUAGGAAUCUGCCUAUUAGUGGGGGACAACAUUUCGAAAGGAAUGCUAAUACCGCAUACGUCCUACGGGAGAAAGCAGGGGAUCUUCGGACCUUGCGCUAAUAGAUGAGCCUAAGUCGGAUUAGCUAGUUGGUGGGGUAAAGGCCUACCAAGGCGACGAUCUGUAGCGGGUCUGAGAGGAUGAUCCGCCGCACUGGGACUGAGACAAGGCCAAGCCUCCUACGGGAGGCAGCAGUGGGGAAUAUUGGACAAUGGGCGGAAGCCUGAUCCAGCCAUGCCGCGUGUGUGAAGAAGGCCUUAUGGUUGUAAAGCACUUUAAGCGAGGAGGAGGCUACUUUAGUUAAUACCUAGAGAUAGUGGACGUUACUCGCAGAAUAAGCACCGGCUAACUCUGUGCCAGCAGCCGCCGUAA
rnacentral:rRNA from 1 species